rnacentral:piRNA from 1 species
GAACGCCUAUCGGCCUGGCUCUGC